rnacentral:rRNA from 1 species
GAUGAACGCUGGCGGCGUGCCUAAUACAUGCAAGUCGAGCGAACAGACGAUGAUCUUGCUCCUCUGACGUUAGCGGCGGACGGGUGAGUAACACGUGGAUAACCUACCUAUAAGACUGGGAUAACUUCGGGAAACCGGAGCUAAUACCGUAUAAUAUAUUGAACCGCAUGGUUCAAUAGUGAAAUACGGUUGUUCUGUCACUUAUAGAUGGAUCCCCGCCGCAUUAGCUAGUUGGUAAGGUAACGGCUUACCAAGGCAACGAUGCGUAGACGACCUGAGAGGGGGGUCGGCCACCCUGGAGGUGAGACACGGUCCAGACUCCUACGGGAGGCAGCAGUAGGGAAUCUUCCGCAAUGGGCGAGAGCCUGACGGAGCAACGCCGCGUGAGUGAUGAAGGUCUUCGGAUCGUAAAACUCUGUUAUUAGGGAAGAACAAAUGUGUAAGUAACUAUGCACGUCUUGACGGUACCUAAUCAGAAAGCCACGGCUAACUACGUG